UUCAAACAAUGUUAUGUUUAUUACCAUUAAAUUUGCAUCCAUCGAGUAGCAACUGCAGAGGCAGAGGUGGUGCAAGCUACCCACAAUGCUGCCUUCUCAAGGUGCUUUAACACAGAGCCUGGAUGACCAACUCAGUGGGCGAGAUGGUCAUUCAGUCUCAUGCCCAUUCAAUCCUUGGCUCCC
rnacentral:sRNA from 1 species